CCAACUGGGAUUGCCUUAGUAACGGCGAGUGAAGCGGCAACAGCUCAAAUUUGAAAGCUGGCGUCUUCGGCGUCCGCGUUGUAAUUUGUAGAGGAUGCUUCGGCGAGGGCUCCGGUUUAAGUUCCCUGGAACGGGACGUCAUAGAGGGUGAGAAUCCCGUAUGUGAUCGGUUGCCUAAGCCAUGUGAAGCUCCUUCGACGAGUCGAGUUGUUUGGGAAUGCAGCUCUAAAUGGGAGGUAAAUUUCUUCUAAAGCUAAAUACCGGCCAGAGACCGAUAGCGCACAAGUAGAGUGAUCGAAAGAUGAAAAGCACUUUGGAAAGAGAGUUAAAAAGUACGUGAAAUUGUUGAAAGGGAAGCGCUUGCAACCAGACUCGUCCGCAGUUGCUCAGCCGGUCUCCUGACCGGCGUACUCUUCUGCGGCCGGGCCAGCAUCAGUUCGGGCGGCCGGAUAAAGGCCUCGGGAAUGUAGCACCCUUCGGGGUGUGUUAUAGCCCGGGGUGGAAUGCGGCCAGCCUGGACUGAGGAUCUCGCUUCGGCUAGGAUGCUGGCGUAAUGGGUGUAAGCGGCCCGUCUUGAAACACGGACCAAGGAGUCUAACAUCUAUGCGAGUGUUUGGGUGUCAAACCCAUGCGCGUAAUGAAAGUGAACGGAGGUGGGAA
rnacentral:rRNA from 1 species